GCCUAUCUCUAACUCGGCUUGUUUCUAAAACCAGGCCGAUCAUCCAUGAGGAACGCUCUGUAAGUGAACUACUUGAGGAGAUCUAGCACCAAGAUGGCCAUCUAAGUGGCCCCUAAGAGACCCCAAACUCCAUUAUCAUCCCAUUGGCAAAUUAGAUAAUACCUUCAGUACCAGGACAGUUGAAGGUUGCCAUGACGACGACCAAACAUAACCAUAUAAAAUGGAUCAGAAGAGGUGGUGCCCUCGAUCCAGAAAAUUCCUACAUAUUCCCACAAAAGGCCUGAGCACCUCUCUUCUUUGUUAGCCUGCCCUCCCAUUUAUUUCUUUCACUGUGCUUAUGCUUCCCCCCUUUUGGAGGUGAAGAAGUUGACUUUGAACUCCACUCUGCCUUCUCCACUCUUUGUUUGGGCUCCGAAGUAACUUCUGCUUUCAUCAUGGACUCAGCUAUAUAUAGUCUUGUCUAUGUGGCACUAACGUUAAAACAAGUGAGAAUGAACACAUUUGCCUUUCGGCAUGGUUGGGAAACAUCUGGUCCGGACCGGAUGAUACUUGGGCUCCCGUAGGACACAAGAGAAAGAAAAAGAGAAAACCCACAAGCUGCCUGCAAGGUGAAACAUCCGGCAGUUCGGAGCGAAGAUCUGAAUUCCUGGCAGUAUGUCCCUGCAGCCAAGCUCAGUGUCUGCCGUGAAUUAUCUGCUCAGUGACAGUUGAACAAACUGAUAAAUGGAUGCAGCAUUAAA